UUAAAUGCUUUGAUCGGAAAAAGUAUAUGUUUCUACACUUUUUAGGGAGUGCUCGCCAAAGACUGCAAGCGUGCAUAAAGUUGUGUUACAUGGAAGUUCACUCCGUUAGCAGCCACCGGGACCAGCAAUUGCUGUAAAGGUAGGCCGGUUUAGAGCCGUUAUGUCAAUGAAGUGAUUGUACUUAAGUACAAUAACUAGGGUGGUACCGCGAACUAUGUCCUCGUCCCUUUU
rnacentral:ncRNA from 1 species